UACGUAGGUGGCAAGCGUUGUCCGGAUUAUUGGGUUUAAAGGGUGCGUAGGCGGCCCUGUAAGUCAGUGGUGAAAUACUCUAGCUUAACUAGAGGGGUGCCAAUGAUACUGCAGGGCUUGAGUACAGAUGAGGUAGGCGGAAUUGACGGUGUAGCGGUGAAAUGCAUAGAUAUCGUCAAGAACACCUAUAGCGAAGGCAGCUCACUGGGCUGUAACUGACGCUGAGGCACGAAAGUGUGGGGAUCAAACAGG
rnacentral:rRNA from 1 species